UAACCUAAUACAUUCGAUAAUAAAGCACCGAACUCCGUUGACCGAACGGUUUUACCGCCAAAAACCUUUUGAGGGUUUGACAUUUGUCGUUGUCGUCUCCAAAGUCGCAAAAGGCUAAAUGAAAAUGUAAAAGUUUGGUGUUUGCUCAGUGCUCUGUUGACAAGUUAGAGAAACACGUGUUGGUGUUUUUGUUGUGACAGGAAGUCUUUGGAAAAAGAACAGGAACUUGUCAUUAAGAUGAAACGAGUUAAACAAAUACUACACGUCAUGUCUCAAAAACAAUACCCAUCUUAACUUCAUAUUGUUCUAUGUUCUCUGGAUUAGACAAGAUGACGGAUAAAAAAAUUUUUUUUGUAAAACCUGGUAGAUAAUUAUCCUAGGUGACACAAAUGCUAUUUUCUAUAUUUUUGACCACUUUUGUUCCUCUGCGCCUCCAUUGAUUUAGUCGCCCAUAUUUUGGCCAUUCUAACAAGGAUAAAAAACAGAUCGAACUACGAUAGAGACGUGGAGGUUUGGACUGAUCGAGACGUGGAGGUUUGGACUACGAUAGAGACGUGGAGGUUUGGACUACGAUAGAGACGUGGAGGUUUGGACUACGAUAGAGACGUGGAGGUUUGGACUACGAUAGAGACGUGGAGGUUUGGACUACGAUAGAGACGUGGAGGUUUGGACUACGAUAGAGACGUGGAGGUUUGGACUGAUAGAGACGUGGAGGUUUGGACUACGAUAGAGACGUGGAGGUUUGGACUACGAUAGAGACGUGGAGGUUUGGACUACGAUAGAGACGUGGAGGUUUGGACUGAUAGAGACGUGGAGGUUUGGACUGAUAGAGACGUGGAGGUUUGGACUACGAUAGAGACGUGGAGGUUUGGACUACGAUAGAGACGUGGAGGUUUGGACUGAUAGAGACGUGGAGGUUUGGACUACGAUAGAGACGUGGAGGUUUGGACUGAUAGAGACGUGGAGGUUUGGACUACGAUAGAGACGUGGAGGUUUGGACUACGAUAGAGACGUGGAGGUUUGGACUGAUAGAGACGUGGAGGUUUGGACUACGAUAGAGACGUGGAGGUUUGGACUGAUAGAGAUGUGGAGGUUUGGACUACGAUAGAGACGUGGAGGUUUGGACUGAUCGAGACGUGGAGGUUUGGACUACGAUAGAGACGUGGAGGUUUGGACUGAUAGAGACGUGGAGGUUUGGACUACGAUAGAGACGUGGAGGUUUGGACUGAUCGAGACGUGGAGGUUUGGACUGAUCGAGACGUGGAGGUUUGGACUGAUCGAGACGUGGAGGUUUGGACUACGAUAGAGACGUGGAGGUUUGGACUGAUAGAGACGUGGAGGUUUGGACUACGAUAGAGACGUGGAGGUUUGGACUGAUCGAGACGUGGAGAGAGAGAGAGAGAGAGACAGAGAGAGACAGAGACAGAGAGAGACAGAGACAGAGAUAAAUCCUAUGCACCCGUGUGUAAAGACAUCUGUAUAAAUUAUACGGCUGUCGCUCAUCUCCCAGUCUUCACCUCAUCUACUACUUAGAUUUAAAUAAUGAUCACAUUUUUGAUGGCCUCUCCCUCGAUCUAGAGAGAAGCCUAUAACUCGUCAGUAUUACAGUUCUCCAUAUAGUAUAGAGAGAGAGACUGUUCUCCAUAGAGUAUAGAGAGAGAGAGAGAGAGAGACUGUUCUCCAUAUAGUAUAGAGACAUCUAUUCCAGUGUUUCAGGAAGUACCAGAUGUCAUCGUCCAAUUGAAACCCUUUAAGUGAAAAGGAUAAACAGUCCUGUUAGUGCAGCGAACCGCAGAACAUAAGACAUCCAGCAGAACCGGGCCCCCUUUGAGAACAUGAAAAGGUGACUACCAUAAUAACACA